rnacentral:rRNA from 1 species
CCUACGGGAGGCUGCAGUGGGGAAUAUUGCACAAUGGGGGAAACCCUGAUGCAGCGACGCCGCGUGAGGGAAGAAGUAAUUCGUUUCGUAAAGCUCUAUCAGCAGGGAAGAAAAUGACGGUAGUUGCGUAAGAAGCCCCGGCUAACUACGUGCCAGCAGCCGCGGUAAUACGUAGGGGGCAAGAGUUAUCCGGAUUUACUGGGUGUAAAGGGAGAGUAGACGGCAGCGCAAGUCUGGUGUGAAAGGCGGGGGCUCAACCCCCGGACUGCUUUUGAAACUGUACGGCGGGAGUGCAGGAGAGGUAAGUGGAAUGCCUAGUGUAGCGGUGAAAUGCGUAGAUAUUAGGAGGAACACCAGUGGCGAAGGCGGCUUACUGGACUGUAACUGACGUUGAGGCUCGAAAGCGUGGGGAGCAAACAGGAUUAGAUACCCUUGUAGUC